AAAGCGUGCGCAGGCGGCUUUGCAAGACAGAUGUGAAAUCCCCGGGCUCAACCUGGGAACUGCAUUUGUGACUGCAAGGCUAGAGUACGGCAGAGGGGGAUGGAAUUCCGCGUGUAGCAGUGAAAUGCGUAGAUAUGCGGAGGAACACCGAUGGCGAAGGCAAUCCCCUGGGCCUGUACUGACGCUCAUGCACGAAAGCGUGGGGAGCAAACAGGAUUAGAUACCCUAGU
rnacentral:rRNA from 1 species